CUUGACCCCAUAAGAGGUCCAGCCUGCCCAGUGACCUAGUUCAACGGCCGCGGUACCCUAACCGUGCGAAGGUAGCGUAAUCACUUGUCUUCUAAAUAAAGACUAGUAUGAAAGACAUCACGAGAACUUGACUGUCUCCCUUUUCCAAUCAGUGAACCUAAUCUCCCCGUGAAGAAGCGGGAAUUUAUAAAUAAGACGAGAAGACCCUAUGGAGCUUUAAACACUAAUCACCUGCCCCAUUCAUUUAAUACUCAGGCUCCUAAACCAACGCACCAUGAUUAUGUGUUUUCGGUUGGGGUGACCGCGGAAAACAAUACAACCUCCGCAAUGAAACUUUAAACUAUAAGCCACAACUUUAAGUAUCAACAAAUUGACAUCCAUUGACCCAAUAUAUUGAUUAAUGAAC
rnacentral:rRNA from 1 species